AACGAACGCUGGCGGCAGGCCUAACACAUGCAAGUCGAGCGCGCCCUUCGGGGUGAGCGGCGGACGGGUGAGUAACGCGUGGGAACGUGCCCUUUUCUACGGAAUAGCCUCGGGAAACUGAGAGUAAUACCGUAUACGCCCUUUGGGGGAAAGAUUUAUCGGAAAAGGAUCGGCCCGCGUUGGAUUAGGUAGUUGGUGGGGUAAUGGCCUACCAAGCCGACGAUCCAUAGCUGGUUUGAGAGGAUGAUCAGCCACACUGGGACUGAGACACGGCCCAGACUCCUACGGGAGGCAGCAGUGGGGAAUCUUAAACAAUGGGGGCAACCCUGAUCUAGCCAUGCCGCGUGAGUGAUGAAGGCCUUAGGGUUGUAAAGCUCUUUCAGCUGGGAAGAUAAUGACGGUACCAGCAGAAGAAGCCCCGGCUAACUCCGU
rnacentral:rRNA from 1 species